rnacentral:tRNA from 1 species
UUUAACUUGGCAGAAUUAAUGUAAUUGAUUUAGGGUCAAUCAAUACCAUAGUGGUAGUUAUAA